GAUGAACGCUGCCAGAAUGCUUAACACAUGCAAGUCUUUGGCGAAGCUGUGCUUGCACAGCCUAGCCAAGGCGGACGGGUGAGUAACGCGUAAGGAACUUGCCCUGCAGUCAGGGAUAACAGACGGAAACGACUGAUAAGACCUGGUAAAGUCAGGCGGACUCAUGUCCAGCCUGAUGAAAAGAGAUGCUGCAGGAGAGCCUUGCGUCCUAUUAGCUUGUUGGUGGGGUAACGGCCCACCAAGGCGAUGAUAGGUAGCCGGCCUGAGAGGGUGGACGGCCACAAGGGGACUGAGAUACGGCACUUACUCCUACGGGAGGCAGCAGUGGGGAAUAUUGGACAAUGGGGGCAACCCUGAUCCAGCAAUUCUGUGUGCACGAUGAAGGUUUUCGGAGUGUAAAGUGCUUUCAGCAGGGAAGAAAAAAAUGACGGUACCUGCAGAAGAAGCGACGGCUAAAUACGUG
rnacentral:rRNA from 1 species